rnacentral:rRNA from 1 species
UGUCUUGCCACGCGACUGAUUGAUUUAAAGGGCCGCGGUAAUUUGACCGUGCGAACCUAGCAUACACAGUACUCUAAAAUAUGUUCGCUUGAAAGAAUGGUUGGACGACCGAUAAGCUGUCUCCUUUGCGUAUAUUGAAUUUAACUAAUAACUGAUAAGCGUUAAUAAAUUAUUGUGCCACGAUAAGACCCUAUAUUACUUAAUAUGAGCUGAGUAAGAUAUGUGAUGUGCGUGAUAUUAUGUAAUACUUGCUACGUAUAUCGUUGCCGAGAUGACCAUAUAAGAUCUAACUGUCCAUAGUAUAUAAUAGUGUUAUUUACAGUAUGAUCGUACAGUGACCAUUAUGAGAAUUAGUUACUUUAGCGAUAACAGCGUAUUAUUCUAUGAGAGUACUUAACGUGAAGACUACUAGCCACCUCGAUGUUGAAUUAAAAUUUCAGCUAGGUGUAGCCGCUUAGCUGCUGCCUCUGUACGAGCUUAUAUAUAUAACAU